rnacentral:rRNA from 1 species
AUUGAACGCUGGCGGCAGGCCUAACACAUGCAAGUCGAGCGGAUGAGGAGAGCUUGCUCUCUGAUUCAGCGGCGGACGGGUGAGUAAUGCCUAGGAAUCUGCCUGGUAGUGGGGGACAACGUUUCGAAAGGAACGCUAAUACCGCAUACGUCCUACGGGAGAAAGUGGGGGAUCUUCGGACCUCACGCUAUAAGAUGAGCCUAGGUACGAUUAGCUAGUUGGUGAGGUAAAGGCUCACCAAGGCGACGAUCGUUAACUGGUCUGAGAGGAUGAUCGGUCACACUGGAACUGAGGCACUGUCCAGACGACUACGGGAGGCAGCAGUGGGGAAUAUUGGACAAUGGGCGAAAGCCUUAUUCAGCCAUGCCGCGUGUGUGAAGAAGGUCUUCGGAUUGUAAAGCACUUUAAGUUGGGAGGAAGGGCAGUAAGUCAAUACCUUGCUGUUUUGACGUUACCGACAGAAUAAGCACCGGCUAACUUCGUGCCAGCCGCCGCAGUAA